rnacentral:lncRNA from 10 species
CCAAAGUGCUGGGAUUACAGGCGUGAGCCACUGCCCCCGGCCGCAUGGGGAGUUCUAAUUGGAUAUUGCCACGGUUUCUACGGGACUGAACAAAGGGGGACCCACACAGGAAUGAAAACUUAAAACAAAACAGCCACUAAGGAAGGCGCAGAGGGACUUCCUUUCGGCCCGAAACAGUAUCUGUGCUGCCAAACUGUUGGGUACACCUGCAGAAAGGCUGUCACUUCACACUUGGAAGAUUGCACAGCGGCCAGGCAGAGGCGCUCCUCACUUCCCAGACGGGGUGGCGGCGGGGCAGAGGCGCUCCUCGCAUCCCAGACGGGGCAGCCGGGCAGAGGUGCCCCUCACUUCCCAGACGGGGCAGCCGGGCAGAGGCCCCCCUCACUUCCCAGACGGGGCGGCCAGGCAGAGGCGCUCCUCACUUCCCAGACGGGGUGGCGGCCGGGCAGAGGCUGUAAUCUUAACACUUUGGGAGGCCAAGGCAGGUGGCUGGGAGGUGGAGGUUGUAGCGAGCCGAGAUCACGCCACUGUACUCCAGCCUGGGCAACACUGAGCACUGAGUGAGGAGACUCCGUCUGCAAUCCCAGCACCUUGGGAGGCCGAGGCGGGCAGACCACUCGAGGUCAGGAGCUGGAGACCAGCCCGGUCAACACCGCGAAACCCCGUCUCCACCAAAAAUACAAAAACCAGUCAGGCGUGGCGGCGCGUGCCUGCAAUCCCAGGCACUUGGCAGGCCGAGGCAGGAGAAUCACGGGAGCCCGAGGCAGGGAGGUUGCA